rnacentral:rRNA from 1 species
AUUGAACGCUGGCGGCAUGCCUUACACAUGCAAGUCGAACGGUAACGGGCCUUCGGGUGCCGACGAGUGGCGAACGGGUGAGUAAUACAUCGGAACGUGCCCGAUCGUGGGGGAUAACGAGGCGAAAGCUUUGCUAAUACCUCAUACGAUCUACGGAUUAAAGCCGGGGACCGCAAGGCCUUGCGCGGACGGAGCGGCCGAUGGCAGAUGAGGUAGUUGGUGGGAUAAAAGCUUACCAAGCCGACGAUCUGUAGCUGGUCUGAGAGGAUGAUCAGCCACACUGGGACUGAGACACGGCCCAGACUCCUACGGGAGGCAGCAGUGGGGAAUUUUGGACAAUGGGCGCAAGCCUGAUCCAGCCAUGCCGCGUGCAGGAUGAAGGCCUUCGGGUUGUAAACUGCUUUUGUACGGAACGAAAAGCCUUCUUUUAAUACAGGAGGGUCAUGACGGUACCGUAAGAAUAAGCACCGGCUAACUACGUG